rnacentral:lncRNA from 1 species
UUUUAUCCUCUGAAAAUGGAAAUAAAUAUAAAUGAAAAACAGUUUGAAUGAAUAUAUAAAACAUCCAUGCCUAUCCUAUCCUAUCUAUAACACCAACCAAACCAAACCAAACCCAGCUGCAGUUUACAGCAGGUAGAUUAGAAGAAAGAAAGGAGAAGAUGGUGUUCCGGACUGACGACCCAACAAACAAUACUAUCCUCCUUCAGUAUUUCGAGAUCAAAAAGUUCUUUCUUUGUUUAAUUUCUAAUCCAUCCCAAUUUCACCCCUUACAUUUAUAAUUCUGGGUUGGUUUGUGCCUGUUGAAUUGGAUCUCAAGUCAAUUACAGCAGCUUAUGGCUUCGAUCAAUUUGUUGUCCCGGUCAAGGGGAAGCUCAGUGACCCCAGCCGCCAAGGAAUCCAGACCCAAGCUUGAGGAAAAUCUCAACGCCUUCAAUUGGCAGUUUUGGCAUGGUUUCAAUCGGCAGGGAUGGUAGAAUUUAGAGAUUUUAAUGGAGGAUUAAUGGCAGAUUAUUGGUCACAUUAAUGGCGGAUUAAUGGAGAAUUUGGGGGUUUUAAAUGGAAGAAGAAAUCUGGGGAUAAAGGAGGAAAUUUAUAAUAUUGAAGAGGUUAGUUUUGUCUAAAAAAAAAUUGUUCAGAUAUACCUCUCGAUGGUUUAGAAUUAAUUUUAUAUCUAGCCGAUUAAGACACACAAAAAAUUUACCAAACAAGUUGUGCCUUUGACAGAACCACUUAUUAAGAGCUGUUAAGAGCUAAUUAAACAAAGCCUAAAUGAUGUUAAUUCAAUUCAGUAUAGGAUGACAUAUUCAUUUUUUCAUCCUUUCCCAUCACUCUAAAUUCUCUCACUUUUGAGGGGGAAAUUUUGAGCAAAAAAUUAAAUCAAUUCUACUCCAAAAUCCCUUUACUUCUUCUCUAAAAAAAAACUCACAAACAUAGAAUUUAGAGAGAUUUAUUUUAAUUAUUUACCCUUCCCUUCCCUUCCCUUCCCUUCCCUUCCCUUUCCCUCAAAUAAAAACUUACAAACACACCAAAAUCCUUUUACAUUUCCAUUUCCUUUUUAAAGUUUUUCCUUGUUCAAAGAUUUGUUGACUGAGCUGUCUGUUUCCACUAAUCAGAUUGUCUUUUUCUGCAAAAACUUCAUUUUCUUCUUUUGAUAGGUUACGGUUAAAUUCAUCAAAUACGUACUACAUGCACAACUUCUGCAACUUUAAAUUUAUCAAGAUUAUAAACCCUCUAAGUUUUACUAUGCAUUGAAUAGUCAAGAAAAAUAGAUUCGAUUGAUUUAACAUCAGAUUUUCCAAGAUUACCAUUAGUAUUUAUAAUAAAACAUUUAGCAUCAUAAAAACUUUAGAAAGCAUGAUGUUAUGA